AUUGAACGCUGGCGGCAUGCCUUACACAUGCAAGUCGAACGGCAGCAUGGAGAGCUUGCUCUCUGAUGGCGAGUGGCGAACGGGUGAGUAAUGCAUCGGAACGUACCGUGUAAUGGGGGAUAACGUAGCGAACGUUACGCUAAUACCGCAUACGACCUGAGGGGGAAAGCAGGGGAUCGCAAGACCGUGCGUUAUACGAGCGGCCGAGUUCAGUUUAGCUAGUUGGUGAGGUAAAGGCUCAACAAGGGGCCGACCUGGAGGGGGCCUACGGGAAUAAUCCGCAACCUUGGGACUGAGACACGGCCCAGACUCCAAGGGGAGGCGGCGUUGGGGAAUUUUGGACAAUGGGGGCAACCCUGAUCCAGCCAUGCCGCGUGAGUGAAGAAGGCCUUCGGGUUGAAAAGCUCUUCCGGCCGGGAAGAAAUCGCACAGGCUAAUACUCUGUGCGGAUGACGGUACCGGCAUAAGAGCACCGGCUAACUACGUGCCAGCAGCCGCAGUAA
rnacentral:rRNA from 1 species